rnacentral:rRNA from 1 species
GAUGAACGCUGACAGAAUGCUUAACACAUGCAAGUCUACUUGAACUUCGGUUUGGGUGGCGGACGGGUGAGUAACGCGUAAAGAACUUACCUCACAGUUAGGGACAACAUUUGGAAACGAAUGCUAAUACCUGAUAUUAUGAUUUUAGGGCAUCCUAAGAUUAUGAAAGCUAUAUGCGCUGUGAGAGAGCUUUGCGUCCCAUUAGCUAGUUGGAGAGGUAACGGCUCACCAAGGCGAUGAUGGGUAGCCGGCCUGAGAGGGUGAACGGCCACAAGGGGACUGAGUCACGGCCCUUACUCCCACGGGAGGCAGCAGUGGGGAAUAUUGGACAAUGGACCAAAAGUCUGAUCCAGCUAUUCUGUGUGCACGAUGAAGUUUUUCGGAAUGUAAAGUGCUUUCAGUUGGGAAGAAAAAAAUGACGGUACCAACAGAAGAAGUGACGGCUAAAUACGUG